rnacentral:rRNA from 1 species
UGGUGGCGAGUGGCGAACGGGUGAGUAAUACAUCGGAACGUACCCAGGAGUGGGGGAUAACGUAGCGAAAGUUACGCUAAUACCGCAUAUUCUGUGAGCAGGAAAGCGGGGGAUCGCAAGACCUCGCGCUCUUGGAGCGGCCGAUGUCGGAUUAGCUAGUUGGUGAGGUAAAAGCUCACCAAGGCGACGAUCCGUAGCAGGUCUGAGAGGAUGAUCUGCCACACUGGGACUGAGACACGGCCCAGACUCC